rnacentral:rRNA from 1 species
UACAGAGGGUGCAAGCGUUAAUCGGAUUUACUGGGCGUAAAGGGCGCGUAGGCGGCAAUUCAAGUCAGCUGUGAAAUCUCCGGGCUUAACUCGGAACGGUCAGCUGAUACUGUCUUGCUAGAGUGCAGAAGGGGCAAUCGGAAUUCUUGGUGUAGCGGUGAAAUGCGUAGAUAUCAAGAGGAACACCUGAGGUGAAGACGGGUUGCUGGGCUGACACUGACGCUGACAGCGCGAAAGCCAGGGGAGCAAACGGG